rnacentral:rRNA from 1 species
GACGAACGCUGGCGGCGUGCUUAACACAUGCAAGUCGAACGGGCCUUGUCCCCUUUUUUUGGGGGUGGGGUUAGUGGCGAACGGGUGAGUAACACGUGAGUAACCUGCCCCUCACUUCUGGAUAACCGCUUGAAAGGGUGGCUAAUACGGGGUGUUCUGGCCUGCUCGCAUGGGUGGGUUUGGAAAGAUUCGACCGGUUUUGGUUGUUUUGGUGGGGGAUGGGCUCGCGGCCUAUCAGCUUGUUGGUGGGGUGAUGGCCUGCCAAGGCUUUGACGGGUAGCCGGCCUGAGAGGGUGGGCGGUCACACUGGGACUGAGACACGGCCCAGACUCCUACGGGAGGCAGCAGUGGGGAAUAUUGCACAAUGGGCGCAAGCCUGAUGCAGCGACGCCGCGUGAGGGAUGGAGGCCUUCGGGUUGUGAACCUCUUUCGCCAGUGAAGAAGGUCCUGCUCUUUGUGGUGGGGUUGACGGUAGCUGGGUUAAUGAAGCGCCGGCUAACUACGUG